GACGAACGCUGGCGGCGUGCUUAACACAUGCCAGUCGAACGGUGAAGCUCCAGCUUGCUGGAGUGGAUCAGUGGCGAACGGGUGAGUAACACGUGAGCAACCUGCCCCUGACUCUGGAAUAAGCGCUGGAAACGGCGUCUAAUACUGGAUACGAGAAGGGUCCGCAUGGGCACUUUCUGGAAAGUUUUUCGGUUGGGGAUGGGCUCGCGGCCUAUCAGCUUGUUGGUGAGGUAAUGGCUCACCAAGGCGACGACGGGUAGCCGGCCUGAGAGGGCGACCGGCCACACUGGGACUGAGACACGGCCCAGACUCCUACGGGAGGCAGCAGUGGGGAAUAUUGCACAAUGGGCGAAAGCCUGAUGCAGCGACGCCGCGUGAGGGAUGACGGCCUUCGGGUUGUAAACCUCUUUCAGCAGGGAAGAAGCGAAAGUGACUGUACCUGCAGAAGAAGCACCGGCUAACUACGUG
rnacentral:rRNA from 1 species